UAACAACCCAGUCUCAUGUAAAAACGUACCCUGACUACGUUGGUCCAAUUUGCAAAACGUAGAGGGGUUACAAUAAUGGCCCUAGAAUUGUAUGACUGUUACAUUUUUUUUCGCCUAUUCUUUUAAUGGCCCUUGAAUUGUAUGACUCUUACGUUUUUUUUUUCGUCCAAGUCACGUGACUUUCAAGCUACCGGCCGUGAGAACAAAAAACAUGGCGGACAUUCUCUCAUUUUUAGUGGAAAAAUCUAUAUUUUGAGUUAGUUUCUGAAUAAAAAGAAGUUUUGAUUACAUUUCUAGCGAGAAAUAUAUAUUUUAUUUUCAUAAUAUUCACUCAGUGAAUUUACAUAAUCAUCGCUUGCUCGAUUUUACCCAGAUUUUUCAGAUCUCGCCAGAAUAAUGUGAAACUGAUACGUUUUGGUUGCUAUGGACACUGCCAGGGCUCGUCACAUGACGUCUUUUAAAGACUUUAUUAAAACCGCGUUCAGCUACAGGUAAAACAACAUUCAGAGGUGAUUUUAACAACGCUCCACGGCGCGUGAGAGUAAGCAUUUUAAGCGUUUUCUGAUCAUGUAGUUAAGUGCUUUUAUUAGACGUGAUGCAUGCUGGGUGGGAAAUUAUUUUUUAUCAAAGACUCGUUGAUGGUAAUUAAUAUAGAUAUGAAUAUACAUUUUGCAACCCUGUAUCACAUGAAAUACGUUCUGAGGAAACUAUUUUGCAAAUCGCAAUUACGUUACAUGCCAACAUAUAAGCAGUGCUGUUACGUUGGUAAUAUGACCCGUCGCCAUGGACACAAGGGGGCGGAUAUCUAAAGUUAAAUAUUUUUAACUUACGCGUGAAAUGGUUGAUUUUAAAAAUAUAUAUAUUCUAAGUAAACAACAACAGCCCAGGUUUAGUAAACAUUUUUUUUAUUGAAACUAUAAAUAAAUAUUCUGCAUCCAUUUUAGGUGUGCCACUGUGGGUGGCUCCUGCACACCCUCGUGGCUACGCCUCUGCGUGACCCAAAUCUCGUUCGCACAUCAUCGCGAUGUUUAUCAUCAAUUUACAAACCUCGCCAGUCGCCUCAUCUUUAUUAGCCUAUCCCCUGUAUGUCAUCGAUGCGCUACUUCAAAGAUGUGAGGAAAAGAACAUACACCUGCGAGUAGUCUGUUACAUUGCCUGUGUUAUUGCCUCACAUUUGCAGAAAUCAGGGGAGGGCAUAUCACACAACAUUGCCUUAGACUUACCAGCAUUUCAUGUUUAUGGACACAAAUUGCCCUGCCAGAUCAAGUACAGUAUCAGAUGGCUUGAUGGGUUUGGGCUCACAGACGGGGAAGGAAUGGAAAGGCUGUGGUCUUUCCUCCAAAGAUUUGCCAGAGUCACAAAGGAGAUGAUUCCAUCUCAUCGCCUUGACCUACUGACUGAUGCCCUUUUGCAUUAUGGACGAAGGAAAUCAACUGACCUAGAGGUGCAGCUCCUGCAAAGAGUAGACAAAGCAGAGAAAAUAUUGAUUCUCGCUCCUCAAGAAGAUAUCUCAUGUCAUCAGAGAGGCACCAGUGUUGAUUUCUGAAGGAGACAUGGAGAGAUGGAAAAAGCUAGCCCAACAGAAACCAAUAAGUAAGGAACUGAAGUUAAAGUCUUAAAUACUACACUGUCUGUAGAUGGAAAAGGGUCUACAUCAUCAGACUGAUUCAGUUCUACAAGUUCAAAAUUGAGGACUCUGCUGAACAUUUAGGAAAAAAUACCGUAUCGGGAGAAGAUGGCAAGAGUCUGAUUCAAACUUCCAGUCUACCCUUAAAGAUGUGGACCGUGAGCUCAGAGUCCAAAUGCAAGGCUAGAACUGAAUCAAGGGAGAGAGCAGUCGUCCUCCACUUGAGAAGAAUAUAUCCAGCUUUGCUUCAGAUGGGCAGGGCAUUGCCAUUAGACUCUCCAAGCAGGUAGCCAAUUGAUUUUCAGGAAUCAUGUGAUCCCUCUUGGCAUGUCUACUUCUGCUUUAAUGACACUAUUGAAGAAGAUGAUGUUUCGAGGAGUCUAAAAAGGCGAGGGAUUGAUGCCUUACAUAUGAAGACUCGGAAAAGGAGAAGUCUAAGGGGCCAGUCACACCAAAAGCGUUUAUGGCAGUUGCAGGCGCCUUUUUUGAAUGAUAUUCUAUGGGCAGGGUGCGUUUGCGCGAUGUUUAUGUGAGCCGAGCGCCUUGCGUUUUUUUGCCGCCUGCCGCGCACGCAUUUUUGAAGGAGCGCUGAGAGCGGAGAAGCGCCCGACGUCAUUUGCGUCUUUCCAUUGUCCAAUCGAAUGAGGGGAGAGGCGGGCCUUACGUUGUGGUGAGUGAAGUUUACAGUUGCUUUGAAGAAGCGGACUCCACUCGCUCACUCUCUCCUGCGUGUUUGUGCACCUCUCACCCUCAAACAAGGUCAGAGCAAGCGCCCUCUUUUUAAAGUUUCUGCUAAUAUGACAGUUAACAGCAAAAGAGCCCUCACGCUUCAAUAUUUGAUUGACAAGACAGCUGACUCGGUGGUUGCUUACCAUUAUGAAAAGCCGCGUCGCACUGCUCUUUUUUUAAAAAAGGCAGUGCGUCGCGCCUUGCGUUUGCAAGCGUUUAAAGCGCUUUUGGUGUGACUGGCCCCUAACUGAACACCCCAUCAGCAGCAGGCCUCUAACAUUUGUGCUCUAACAUCAAAGACACUGAGCAGCCUGGUGCAAAAGCUGCUCUCAUUCAACACCUCCAACACCUGGAAAGAAAACUACAUCAAGCCAUUGUGAUGUUUCACCCACAUCUAUCGGACAUUGUUCCUGCAGACAACCCCCACUUGUGUCAUGCCCUCCCCAUGCCAAGCAUACAGACACUGGUAUACAAUGAUAAGAGUGAUAAUGAUGAAAAUGUGGAUAAAUAUGAUAACUAGCACUACAGAUUUUUUGUUAAUUUUUAGUCUGAUAUUGUAUUCUGUAAAAAGAAAGAUGUAAAAUGUAUAGUAUAUGUUGCAGCAUAUAGAAACCUUGGUGGUGUAGUAUAAUGUUCACCUUACUUGUCCAAACAUGAUGUUUUACUAGGUCUGAUUUAUUUUAAAGCGUAGGUACUGUUUUAAGCACACAUAUUCACACUAGUCUGUGUGAGGACAAAAUUGUGUGUUUACCAUUGUGAUGUUACUUAUUUACAGUAAUGUACAAAUGUGGUCAAUGUGUGUAAUGUGUUUUGUUUUUGAAUCCUUUUAAACAAAUACUGUAAAAGUUUGUAAAAAAUAAAAAGUUUUCCAAUAUGAGUUAUAGUCAUGAUUU